CAGAUCUCUCCCUGGAGGCAGUUAACUUCACAGCUCCUGAAGGCACUGUGGAUCCACUGAGCAGCAGACAUGGCCGUUCUAGAGAAAACAGUAGAACAGAAAGCAGAGGGACACAAUAAGAAGAGUGCCCAGAAGAACAGGAAGAAUGGCUUGCCAGACUCUAGCUCUGCUAACACCUUGAUCUGGGAUUUUGAAAAUGACUUUUUUAGUCCCCAGAGCUAUGAGGAAUACACUUCUGCCAUCUAAGGUGUCCAGGUGAAGGCGUUCUGUUUCAGCUUCAGGGGAUAAAAGGAAACAUGUUGGGCAAUGAUGAGGUAAGGAAAGACAUCUCCUCAGGCUGGUUCCCAAGUAGACCUCCUGGAGAUGUGACAAUUAAGCCAAGAUCAGAAGACAGUAGCAGGAAAGCAGGCCUCCCACAUGUGGGGCUGCAGGAGGGCUUUGCUGUGACAGAUACACUCACCAAAUCUUGGAAAUCUACAUUAAAUAAGAAAGAAAUGAAAAAUGAUCUAAGUGGGGAAUUUAAGUUGGAGACACUUAUGAAACAGUGUGAAGUUGAAAUAGUAGGGGAAAGCAGGACAGGGACAGGUGUGCAAAAUGACUUAUUACACUGAGGUAUUCAAAUAGUACAGCUGCAGAAGUAAAACUCCUCCCUCCUUUGGUCCCUCCAACUGUCUCUUUCUGUUGGUAACUAAUGAUAACUGGUGUGAUUGCCAUGGUGAUCACAGGAAGGAAAAAUCCUUACACAUCGGGAUGGUGCACUCUGUCAGACAUUUUGCCGUGUGUCCUAAACACAUUCCCUAACUUCACCUUCUCACCAUCACAGCGGAAUCACCAUUGACAGUCACAUGUCUCAGUUCAGAAACUGGAGAUUGGAAAGGUUAGACUCCUGUCCAAAAUCACACAGCUAAUAGAUAACAGAGCUGGGAUCAAAGCAGGCUAAGCUGUGUCUAAUAUGCAUCUCUCUAGGUUUUCUCUCAGACAAUGACUUUAGGCAGUGGAAAGGGUAUUAUACAUUAAUGCGACAAAAUCAAAAGUGUUACAGAUAAUUUUUCAGAAGGUAUUUUACUAUUCUAGCCUUUGCAGAAACAUUCAAAUGAGGAAGCAAGCUCGUCCAUAAUGAAGCAGAGUGCCACCCGUCAAAGCCAAUACGCAUCCUUGCUCGGGAAUUUUUCAGAAUACUUGUUCCGGCCCCAAGACAGAGAGCCACCCCUUUUUAGCACCUACAACUCAGACAUCAUGCUCAGAGAUGGGGGUUUUCUAUCCAUACCCUUGUUGCUAGGUUACACAUCAGUUUCUCAAACUGUAAUGGUUUUGAGACAGAAUGGUGAAGAAUUUGUGGCAGCACCUCUCACUGUAUGCACCUGGCAUCAGAGUGCCGUGAGGAAACUCAUCACCAUUGUUCCCAUGCACACUUCCAGAAAGAACAUAUUUCCCAACAUGCUUUUGGCAUGUUUUUUUAGUCCCUGUCUGUAUGUUCCCCUGCUGUAGGGAAAAUGUGCUACACACUGUAUCGUCAGAGCUUCUCAACUGGGAAAGCAUUAGAGUUCAUGCUCUAAAGCCCAGUGACGCACCCCAUGAUGUUCCAGAUUCGGCAAUGGCAGAAUUUAUUCUAUCAAUUAACAUCUGUGAUGACUGGUCUGGACAAAAUAUAAAGAUAACCGGAAGCCAUGAAGAGUGGCAGGCAGGCACUAGUGGGGGGGGGGUCAACCUUAAAGGAAUGGGAAUCUACCUUUUACUUGAGACUGACUCCAAGGUACUCCCUAGUCUGGCAGCUGCACAUGACUGUACCUCAAGCAGAAAUUUGGAGAAGUCAGAGGACAGUCUCCCAGGAAAAGUAAGCAUAAAUAAUUUGAGGAAUUGCUACAGCAAGGGACUGUUACGUAGCAGCACAGAGGAUUUACUUGAGACCCUGCUGCUUCUCUGCCGUGGUUACUGCUGAGUGGUCACUGCUGUCCUUUUCAUACUAAACUCGAAGUUGAGAUCAACUCUACUGUGCACAGAGCUGGUUCAUACUUUAGACUCUGUCUUUAGGUUAGGUCCCCAGACCUGGGAUGGAGCUGAUGGGGUGAUAUGAGGCUGACAGGCUUUGUUCAUGGACAUCAGCAGCUCACAAGAUUAACAACUGGGCAUUUCUGUUGGCCUCGGAGAGUAUUAAAAAAACAAUGAGAGUUUACAUUUAAAUUAUUUAAACAUUGAAUGAUUUCUUCUUUUAUGUUAAUAGCUGUAAGUUUUAGAGAACUGUUUAUUCAUUCUGAUUUAUUAGUGGGGAAAUGAGUGUUUUCUCAUUGGUUUUUAUAUAUUUCUAAUCUAACAAAAAUUCAAAUAUGUUGAAAACAUUUUCCCAGUUGUGAUCUUUCAUUUUGCUAUUUUGUUUUUCUAUAUAAGCUCAAAUUUUUCUUUUGAGUUAUAUUUUUAUUAUUUCUAAGUUAAAGAUGCAUCUCUUGUCUAGAAAAUUGAUAAAUAUUUAAUUAUAGUACCAUUGUUUUUGAGUUACUUUUAAUAAUUCUUUUUCCAUGGAAUUUACUAUGAUAUUUAAAAUUAUUUUCCUCAAAUUGUCAUCUAGUCAUCCUAACAUUCUUCUGGUUAGCUUCAGCUGUCAACACAAUGCAGCUGGGCCAUUGUGGUCAGUGCCACCUCUGGGCAGGUUGUCCUUGGGUGUGUAAGAGAGCUGACUGUGGAUUAGCCAGAGCCAGCUAAAAAGCAGCAUUCCUCCAAGGGCUCUGCCUGAGUUCCUACCUGACUUUCCUCAAAGACAGACUGUGAGCUGGAAGUGUGAGCUGAAUAAACCCUUUCCUCCCCAGGC